AGAGUUUGAUCCUGGCUCAGGAUGAACGCUGGCGGCGUGCCUAAUACAUGCAAGUCGAACGCUUUGUGGUUCAACUGAUUUGAAGAGCUUGCUCAGAUAUGACGAUGGACAUUGCAAAGAGUGGCGAACGGGUGAGUAACACGUGGGAAACCUACCUCUUAGCAGGGGAUAACAUUUGGAAACAGAUGCUAAUACCGUAUAACAAUAGCAACCGCAUGGUUGCUACUUAAAAGAUGGUUCUGCUAUCACUAAGAGAUGGUCCCGCGGUGCAUUAGUUAGUUGGUGAGGUAAUGGCUCACCAAGACGAUGAUGCAUAGCCGAGUAGAGAGACUGAUCGGCCACAAUGGGACUGAGACACGGCCCAUACUCCUACGGGAGGCAGCAGUAGGGAAUCUUCCACAAUGGGCGAAAGCCUGAUGGAGCAACGCCGCGUGUGUGAUGAAGGGUGUCGGCUCGUAAAACACUGUUGUAAGAGAAGAAUGACAUUGAGAGUAACUGUUCAAUGUGUGACGGUAUCUUACCAGAAAGGAACGGCUAAUUACGUGCCAGCAGCCGCGGUAAUAC
rnacentral:rRNA from 1 species